rnacentral:rRNA from 1 species
UACGUAGGGUGCAAGCGUUGUCCGGAAUUAUUGGGCGUAAAGAGCUUGUAGGCGGUUUGUCGCGUCUGCUGUGAAAUUUCGGGGCUCAACCCCGAACUUGCAGUGGGUACGGGCAGACUAGAGUGUGGUAGGGGAGACUGGAAUUCCUGGUGUAGCGGUGAAAUGCGCAGAUAUCGGGAGGAACACCAGUGGCGAAGGCGAGUCUCUGGCCUAAUACUGACGCUGAUGCGCGAAAGCUAGGGGAGCAAACGGG